UCGGCGGCCUCGGCGGGGCGGCGCGGAAGCGGCGGAGGGGCCGACGUCGAACCGGCGGCGGUGAGGCGGAGGCGGUGCGGCGUUGAGGCGGCCUCAGCGUUCAUUCAAAGAUAUGAGUCUCUGGUUCGUUUGUUUAAAGUAUAAGACGGUCGUAUAUGAGUCUCUGUUUAUCGACGGUAGUCCUAAGGACUUUAAAUACUCCUGUAUAACUUAAUCACUCCUAAAGUAUUUAAAAAUCAGGUUCGUUGAGUAUGUAAACUUCAAAACAACGAAUGGAAGGGUAGGGUAACACAACGAUACGAGGACUUCAACGGAUUGAUGUCCUUUUCCUCCGGUUUCAUAGCCGUCGCUACAAAACAAAACACUCUUGAUGAGUUUAUAUAUUAGAUUUAUAUGAUCGACCUACAAGCCGAUGUAAGUAAUACGGAAAGCCAUUUGAACUACAACCUACUAUGGUGACCUACAUAAAGUCAGAAGAACUAACAAAAACGUAAACGAGUUUUAGAAAAGUGGGUCUCUAAUAAUACACCCGACGAAGUCAGACAUCCAUUCUGAGCGUUUUUUUUCAGACAUCUAUGAAGAUAUUAGUUGUCUCUUCUUUUUUUGAUUUUAAUCUCGAGAUAUAUUGACAUGACAAAUGUAACUCGUACUGUGACAAAAUUAAAAGUCACACCCGACGGACGAACGUCGUCGUCAAAACGUAGAAACCGUUUAUGUCUUAUAGGUGGCAACAACAACUGGAGGGUCUUACAAAUGUGGAAGCAGUACGAAAUGGACGGUCAUUAACAGUUGUUACACAGUUCAGUCAUGUGUAAAAGACGACUAACGUUCUUGCCGUCGCUGGUACACUGACUUCACUCGUUUGUGCAGGUCCAGGAAAACCGUACCACUCACAGGAGGGUCGAUCUUGUCAAUCUCCACUUCGUCUCUCGUGGCGGUCUUUAUAUUUCGACGACUUUCUUUAAUGUUUUCGUGUUCUUGUUGAAUUAUAUUAGGCUUACUAGUUCGCUUUUCUUACGUUUGUUUGAGCGACCUACAAGUAGGUGACUUAUCAUCCUCACGAAAUCAUCAUCAUAGCUAUCUAAUCUCUAUAUUCACGUCUUUAAUACUUUCAUUCGGAGGACCCUAAACAGUGUGUUCCCCUUUGUUUCUCUUCUCCUUUUGCGGAUGCUCUUACUUUAUGACCUUCCAGCUGUUCACUAAAGGUAACGAGUGGAGCCGGACGAUACUUGGACACUGGCACUGUCACGGCGGGCAAGAGGAUGGGCCGCAGGAUAAGGAGGUAGGGUGCAACGAAUGUACAUUGGCACUUUUCAAUCAACGAAUGUACAGGUCUAACCAUGACGUUUCUAGUACAACGACCGUAGGGUACUUACGGUCAACACACUAACAAAGAUCGUUAAAAGCCUCGGAAUACUAGCAAUACGUAAAAACGGACGUCAAGUAUGUAUUAUAAAGGAUACAGACGGAAACCUUCCAAACGACGGUAUGAUAGCUAACUGUCACGAAAUACACAAGAAGAACUGGCAACCACCUGAGAUAUACUUAUGACGAGGUUCUUUAGUUAGGAUGGCGGGUAGCGGCGUGACUAGCGAUACCGUAAAACCCCCCGCGAAGGACCAUUAUGAUCCGCAGAUAAGACUAUAAUGACCGCUGGUAAUAUCUUAAAAUAAACACCAAAGACGUUAAAUGUGACUUUAAAUCGAUUAGUCAUAUAGUACCAAAAUGUCAAGCGUAUUACUCAUUUAUUAUAUGUAAGGUUACCCUCCUGUUUGAAAACUACGACCACUUAAGAAAUGUUAGUAAGGUUACCGUCGUGUUUGACUUUCAUAAAUACAUCCGUGUCUAGUAACGAUGUGGUCUUAUUUAACUCAUAACUCAUUUAUUCUGCGGGUCAAAAUAUUAUGUCAGAUGGCCACGAAAGUAACACCAAAGUGCCAUUAUGGCGGUACGGGAGGAAGACAAUACUAACUGUGUUCCUCACAGAAUGAACUUUAAAUGUCUUACCAUUCGCGAUAUUAAAUAACCGCUAGAACACGACAACUGACUGGGUUUGUUCCAUGACAACUUAACUCCAGAACAUUUUCAAAAAAAUUUGAGUACGUACUCAUGUUCAACUUGAUAAACAUCAUAUAGAAGUAGCAAAGAAUACUUCACCUACCCUCUUUCACUAUUGACCAGUGUCUGUAGUAAACCUUAUUACAACCUGAGUCCGUAUCACCAGGGACUAGAUUGCUCGUUUCCCUUUGGUAAAUGCCUAAACCAACACAGCGUUUAUCGGGCCGUACGAGAGUACAUUAAGAACUAGAUGGCGCCUAAUAGGAAAAGAUAUAAUUACCUUGCAGCGUGUCAAGAGAACGCGUAAGUCUUUUUUUAUCAAAACGUUGGAAAUUUAAAACUACUUCGGAAACUAUUAAGAAAAAAUAGAAGAUUAAGAGAAAACUGACACGAAUUGCAUGCUGAAUGGAUUAUAAUACUAAAACGUGGUGCCAAAGGGAAGCGACAAACAUAUACAACCCUGAUAACUAAAAAAAUUCACUAAAAGUCAAGGAGUGUUGUCUAAAGAAAACCUCAAAAAUGACUAGUCAUACAACCUCUAGACGUCUACUGUGAAGAAAUAUACGUUCACGUUUUUCUAAAGUCCAAGACAGGAGAAAAGAAACAACCUUGAUAGUCCAGCGCAGGAGAACGUUACGUUCAUAACAACUCCUGAACUCCGAGUCUAAAGUGAAAAACCCAAAAAAGAAGGCUCCUUUUUUUUUGAAUUAUAACCAUACAGGAUCUGGAAAAGUAAACUUGAAGUACUACGGGACUAUCUAUAUUGUCAAUAAAACAAAGUCAUUCCUCCUUUUUUUAACUUAAACAAACAGACUGUAAUGUAUUAGAGAUUUAUAACGCCGGCAUAGAAUAUAGAAUAGAAAAUCAAAGAGAAACGGUGAUUCGUGUUUUAAAAACAUCCGAUGCUUCGUGAUCGUAUCAUGAAUAUUAGAAGGUUAGACCAAUACGUUUUCCACUUAGACAUAGGUAAUUUGAAACAAUUUAUCAUCCAGGAGAAUUGUCAUACGGAUUUUGAUUAACAAAGAGACACAGAUAUCAUACAAUCAGGUCGAGUUACCUACAAGAACUGAUUGACGAUCGAAAUAAACCAGAAUAGACUAAGAGACCACAAUUAGGUGAGGAUGUAACGGUUUGAGUCAUACUAAUUUGUACCUCAUACAAUAUAUGAAACUACUAUAAAAGUCUAAAAUUUAUGAGGAUAUACUGUUCGUGUUAGGGACCAUGAUUACGAAUGAGAAAAAUAAAGCCUACAAGUUCACAUCGUAGAUAACUGGUUACGUUCGAGGUAGUCCUACACACAUCACAGGUAUUCAAAGAAAAACCGGUCAUGUCACUCUUUUUAUAUACCUUGCAUGUUGUUAGGAUGUACUUUGUAAGACUUGUUUCAAGAUAUCCCGGUUGAACGUAAAAGUACAGUUCGUACCGACUAAUAGUCUCCCGUUCCUUUCUACCUCAUCAUCUUAGUAACGGAUGCUACUCAAGUUGCCUAGCUACACGUGUAAUUGUUCGUAACGGACGACAGACGGAAGCGGAUGAAACUGCUCCUGCUGUCGCCCAUGUAUUGGCAACUGGGCGAUCUUCUCCACACGACCCUCAUGUUGUGUCCGACUGCAGCCGUAGUGCUGUAGUAAUCCCUCCAGCCGUUACUCUUGUACGCUACAAGUUUAACUGAUACCCCUCAAGCACCGUUACCACUUCCCCUAGUAGCUCUUACCUUCCGACUGGUAGUAAGAGGUACCUCGUCUGCUGGAGUCGAUCGGAAACUAACUUUAUAAGUAUAUGUUGUGUGAUAGAAACAAGUGUAACACGAUAUCUACUAUAGUUAUAAAAAUUGGGUUCAGUAAUAAGUAAAAUAAACACAUUUCAUUG
rnacentral:rRNA from 1 species